UACGGGGGGGGCAAGCGUUGUUCGGAAUUACUGGGCGUAAAGGGCUCGUAGGCGGCCAACUAAGUCAUACGUGAAAUCCCUCGGCUUAACCGGGGAACUGCGUCUGAUACUGGAUGGCUUGAGUUCGGGAGAGGGAUGCGGAAUUCCAGGUGUAGCGGUGAAAUGCGUAGAGAUGUGGAGGAACACCGAUGGCGAAGGCAGCCCCCUGGGCUGAGAUUGACGCUCAGGCACGAAAGCGUGGGGAGCAAACAGG
rnacentral:rRNA from 1 species